rnacentral:lncRNA from 1 species
AAAACAUUAGCGCUUUUGGUAAGUGCUCUAUCAGAGGACAAUGGGACGGAGGCGCGUGCACGAGGCGACCCCGUGUUUUUAUUUUCUCUCUCUUUGAACCUAAAGACGCUUUCCCGGUCAGAAUAUUAUCGCUUUUUAUGAGAAAAAUGGCAUAAAAAUUUAUUUUAAACAGCGGUUGACAUGCUUCGAAGUACGGUAAUUGAAUAUUUAGAAUUUUUUUGUCAUGAAAUGCGUCGUGCGCGUCACCCUUCUUUACCAUUCGGAUAGUGUCUUGAACGCACGAACAAAACAGAGGAUAUUUGAAUAUAACUAUGGAUUAUUUUUAACCAAACCAACAUUUGUUAUUGAAGUAGAAGUCCUGGGAGUGCAUUCUGACGAAGAACAGCAAAGCUUUCCUGAAAUGUGAGAUCCCACUUACUAGUUUAUCAGAGGAAAAGCUGUAUGAUGGGUCUGGAACUGAAAUUCAUGGGGAUGUGUUUGAGGAGGUGGUGACAAGGCCAGAUCUUGGUGUUUUCAAGCUCACACUGAACAAUGAUGCUAAAGAAUCUUCCCUGAUGAGUCCUGUCUCUGCCAGUUCUGUGAUGGGUGGUUCAGACCAUGAGUCAGUUGAUACAAUCAUUUUGAGCGAGGAUGGAAGCCCCUCACGAAAGCGUCAAAGAUCUGAUGACGAAGCAAAAAAUCUAAUAGAGAGCAUACUGAAGAAAAAGCCUGGUGGAGAGGUUGUCAUCAAGGAAUACUACAAAACUAAAAGCCUGACUGACUGCACCAGACGAAAGAUGAUCAAAAUUCUUGUUUCGGCGAUGACAGAGACUCAUGGG